AUUGAACGCUGGCGGCAGGCCUAACACAUGCACGUCGAGCGAGCGGCGGACGGGUGGGUAAUGUAUGGGGACUGCCCGUUAGCGGGGGCUAACUACUGGAAACGGCAACUAAUACCGCAUACUAUCGGACGACCCAUAUGGGAUUAGCUCGUAGGUGAGGUAAUGGCUCACCUAGGCGACGAUCCCUAGCCGGGCUGAGAGGAUGAUCAGCAACACUGGGACAGAGACACGGCCCAGACUCCGACGGAGGCAGCAGUAGGGAAUAUUGCACAAUGGGCGCAAGCCUGAUGCAGCCAUGCCGCGUGUAUGAAGAAGGCCCUAGGGUUGUAAAGUACUUUCAGUCGGGAGGCGUUACCGACAGAAGAAGCACCGGCUAACUCCGUGCCAGCAGCCGCGGUAAUUC
rnacentral:rRNA from 1 species